rnacentral:rRNA from 1 species
AUACGGAGGAUGCAAGCGUUAUCCGGAUUUAUUGGGUUUAAAGGGUGCGUAGGCUGUUCGGAAAGUCAGGGGUGAAAGCCCGGCGCCUAACGCCGGAACUGCCUUUGAUACUUCCGAGCUGGAAUACGGAUGCCGUGGGAGGAAUGAGUAGUGUAGCGGUGAAAUGCAUAGAUAUUACUCAGAACACCGAUUGCGAAGGCAUCUCACGAAUCCGUCAUUGACGCUGAGGCACGAAAGCGUGGGGAUCAAACAGGAUUAGAUACCCUGGUAGUCCACGCAGUAAACGAUGAUGGCUAACCGCUGGUUUAUUCGGAUCAGUGGCCAAGCGAAAGCGAUAAGCCAUCCACCUGGGGAGUACGACCGCAAGGUUGAAACUUAAAGGAAUUGACGGGG